rnacentral:rRNA from 1 species
AACUUAAGCAUAUCAAUAAGCGGAGGAAAAGAAACCAACAGGGAUUGCCCUAGUAACGGCGAGUGAAGCGGCAACAGCUCAAAUUUGAAAUCUGGCCCUCGGGUCCGAGUUGUAAUUUGUAGAGGAUGCUUUUGGUGCGGUGCCUUCCGAGUUCCCUGGAACGGGACGCCAUAGAGGGUGAGAGCCCCGUCUGGUUGGAUGCCAAUCCUCUGUAAAGCUCCUUCGACGAGUCGAGUAGUUUGGGAAUGCUGCUCUAAAUGGGAGGUAUAUGUCUUCUAAAGCUAAAUAUUGGCCAGAGACCGAUAGCGCACAAGUAGAGUGAUCGAAAGAUGAAAAGCACUUUGAAAAGAGAGUUAAAAAGUACGUGAAAUUGUUGAAAGGGAAGCGCUUAUGACCAGACUUGGGCUUGGUUGAUCAUCCAGGGUUCUCCCCGGUGCACUCUUCCAGUCCAGGCCAGCAUCAGUUCGCUGCGGGGGAUAAAGGCUUCGGGAAUGUGGCUCCCUCGGGAGUGUUAUAGCCCGUUGUGUAAUACCCUGUGGUGGACUGAGGUUCGCGCAUCUGCAAGGAUGCUGGCGUAAUGGUCAUCAGCGACCCGUCUUGAAACACGGACCAAGGAGUCGUCUUCGUAUGCGAGUGUUCGGGUGUUAAACCCCUACGCGUAAUGAAAGUGAACGCAGGUGAGAGCUUCGGCGCAUCAUCGACCGAUCCUGAUGUUCUCGGAUGGAUUUGAGUAAGAGCAUACGGGGCCGGACCCGAAAGAAGGUGAACUAUGCCUGUAUAGGGUGAAGCCAGAGGAAACUCUGGUGGAGGCUCGCAGCGGUUCUGACGUGCAAAUCGAUCGUCAAAUAUGGGCAUGGGGGCGAAAGACUAAUCGAACCUUCUAGUAGCUGGUUUCCGCCGAAG